UUUGCCAUGUGGAUUUCCGAAAUAUUUUACAAGUGAAACAAUGUGAAAUUAUCAUUAUUUACAAUGGUGUAUGGUUCAAUUUAAUUUUUAAUUUACACUAGUUGUUUUUGAAAAUAGUAUUCGCAUUCCUGCUCAGUCAGUAAGUGCUUGAACUUAUUUUUUACAACUCUUUUGAACCCUCAUUUAAAAUGGUAAACAGCGCUGGUCAGAGGGAAAGGUGCCAGAAUUCCAGAAUUAUUUUAAUGUUCAUUGAAAACCAAACGUGCAUUUAUCAAGAGACUAUUCGGUCUUAUUUAUCUUGUCAAAUUGACAUUAUUGAUCUUGUCACUGGCCACAUACUUACAUAGAAUCUGGGUUUGUUUAUAACUCGUUUUAAUAAUCAACUGUAAUCUCAUUCAUCGAAGGUUACUAGCAAUGUGAUGGCAUGUUUAGUCAGUUGUUAGUGUGACUUUCGUAUCAUAAUAAUGUCACGUGACAAAUCCAACACGUCAGUAACAACAGCAGCUGAAAACAGACCUCAACUGUUGUACACAGGUUGUCAGACAUCUGUUCGCUGCGCCCCUGAUAUACAUAAAUAUGGUUCACUGAAUAACCCUGACAAAUGAUUCAUCUUUUUUAUCAGACUUGGUAGGCGACUAGAUGAACGCUGCAAGUCUGCGUUUAGAUGUUUACUUACCAUGAUAAUUAUUAUUGGUAUAAAUUUCCAACUUUGAAAAAAUUGAACUAAUCCCUGUACAAGAAUGGCCAUUUUGUAUCAAUAACGUUUAUGUUUUUGGUAUAAUGGUGACAUGACAUUCACUUCAUUUGUUUAGUUAAGAAUCGUUAAUUUUCAAUGGAGGUUUUAUUUAUUUUGACCCCCAAAAGGACAAGAUUCUAACUUGCUAUUGGCACUAGAUUAACGUAUGCAAUGUUAUGCGUCCACAAACGAUUGACCUGCCGACGUACACUACACAGACGUACUAAGGCCACAAUACAUGAUGUACUUGCUGUUGUCAACCAGGGUAUUGUGUGACACCCCGAAGGUACCCCUUAGAUACAGGUACUUGUGAUGAACCAGGGUAUUGUGUGACACCUCGAAGGUACCCCUUAGAUACAGGUACUUCUGAUGAACCAGGGUAUUGUGUGACACCUCGAGGGUAUCCCUUAGAUACAGGUACUUGUGAUGAGAAGGUACCCCUUAGAUACAGGUACUUGUGAUGAACCAGGGUAUUGUGUGACACCUCCAAGGUACCCCUUAGAUACAGGUACUUGUGAUGAACCAGGUAAUGUGUGACACCUCCAAGGUACCCCUUAGAUACAGGUACUUGUGAUGAACCAGGGUAUUGUGUGACACCUCCAAGGUACCCCUUAGAUACAGGUACUUGUGAUGAACCAGGGUAUUGUGUGGCACCUCGAAGGUACCCCUUAGAUACAGGUACUUGUGAUGAACCAGGGUAUUGUGUGACUCCUCGAGGGUACCCCUUAGAUACAGGUACUUGUGAUGAACCAGGGUAUUGUUUGACACCUCGAAGGUACCCCUUAGAUACAGUUACUUGUUAUGAACCAGGGAGUGAGACUUCACGUCUUUGUUUUCAGCAGACACGUUACUUGUAUUACACACAACUGCCGACAUAUCCCUGUGAUCAGUCCACCGCAAGGACUCACACACACAGAAGCAAGCACACACACACACACACACAUACACACACACACACACACACACGUGCAUGCACGUCGCUACAUAAUUGCAAUGACCUUGAACACGACGUAAACCCCAUAUCAACUCACCCACGUUAAACUGCGGCAUGGUGUCACAGUGGUCGAGCACAAUAAAACCCGGCAUAAGUCCGGACUAGUACAAGCACGCAUGCAUGCACGCACACACGCGCACACAUACACACACUAGGACUCCUCGCAUGGGUAGCCGGACGCAUUUCGGUCAAACUUGUAUAAACAACCACCGUUGCAAGACAGGUCUUACAUAUACUGAAUACUUGUGUGUCUGCGACACCAUCCCUGGCCGCGGUAAACCAAAAGACGUUAAAAGAAGGUACUUCUUGUUACCCUGCCUGCCUAAUGGGGGAAAACAAAGACUGGUUGGCUCGGAGUCAGUAUACUGUGGGCUUUUAUUGGAUUAGUAAUCUCCAGUCCAUUUCCAGAGAGAGGAGGAUCGUCCUGUUCUAUGACGACGAAGAAGAAGAAAUAUUGUGAAUUAAUGUCAUGUGUUGUGAACACGUGUAAACAAAAUGAAAAGUUAGUAAAAUAUGAUGAUGUGACUCUAGUAUUGGGUAUCAAAUGGACCUUGGUGAUGGUAAUGUUUUUGUGUGUUUAGUUGUGUUUGUUUGUUGUUUAGCACUGCACGCAGCAAUAUCCAAGCUAUAUGCCAGUGCUCUAUAAAUAAUAUAGUCUGGACCAGACAAGCAAGUAAUUGAAAUCUACGAUCUACGCGAUUGUGACACGAUGACUGCAUUAACCAAUCAGCGAGACUGACCACCCCGAUCCCGUUACUCGUAUGUUAUGACAAGCAUUGGUUCCUGAAGACCGUUUAUUGUGAACACAGCGUACCUUUGUGUCUUCGUAUGGUCUGUGCUUGUUUAGUUGUAUCAUUGUUUAUGUCGUCCAGCUGUCAAAUGCUUCCAUCAACAUGUACCUAGUUUAGCUGAAACAAUGUUGUCAUGCCAAAAUACAAACACUACAGUACUGCCCGAAAUACGUCUAGUCCGUGAGGUCAGGCGUGUUCCAAUCUCAUUAAAAUCAGAUCUUAGUUCUCGUUAUCGCUGAACAAAGAUCUGAGGCCAUCCCAUUACGGGUCACGUCAGAACGACCUUUCAUCCAACCAAUCAGAGCGUCGCUUACCAGACU